UACAGAGGUCUCAAGCGUUGUUCGGAUUCAUUGGGCGUAAAGGGUGCGUAGGCGGCGCGGUAAGUCGGGUGUGAAAUUUCGGAGCUUAACUCCGAAACUGCAUUCGAUACUGGCGUGCUUGAGGACUGGAGAGGAGACUGGAAUUCAUGGUGUAGCAGUGAAAUGCGUAGAGAUCAUGAGGAAGACCAGUGGCGAAGGCGGGUCUCUGGACAGUUCCUGACACUGAGACACGAAGGCCAGGGAGCAAACGGG
rnacentral:rRNA from 1 species